GGAGAAAUGGCCGGGUGGUCGAAGGCACGCGCCUGGAAAGUGCGAAUACUCCAAAAGGGUAUCAAGGGUUCGAAUCCCUUUUUCUCCG
rnacentral:tRNA from 1 species